rnacentral:rRNA from 1 species
UACGGAGGGAGCUAGCGUUAUUCGGAAUUACUGGGCGUAAAGCGCACGUAGGCGGCUUUGUAAGUUAGAGGUGAAAGCCUGGAGCUCAACUCCAGAAUUGCCUUUAAGACUGCAUCGCUUGAAUCCAGGAGAGGUGAGUGGAGUUCCGAGUGUAGAGGUGAAAUUCGUAGAUAUUCGGAAGAACACCAGUGGCGAAGGCGGCUCACUGGACUGGUAUUGACGCUGAGGUGCGAAAGCGUGGGGGGAGCAAACAGGAUUAGAUACCCUGGUAGUCCACGCCGUAAACGAUGAUAACUAGCUGUCGGGGCUCUUAGAGCUUCGGUGGCGCAGCUAACGCAUUAAGUUAUCCGCCUGGGGAGUACGGCCGCAAGGUUAAAACUC